CUUUUUUUUCUCUCCCCUCCCCUUUUUUUCCUGUCCUUCGCCAAUUUGUUAACGUCCUGUGGAAAAAAAAAGAAACGAGGAAAAUCUCCACUUUCGAGGAGAAAGAAUAAUAAUGAAAUUAUAUAUAUUUUUUUUGUAUUACUUACUAUGAUUUUUAAUAUUUAGAAUAAAAGUUAUCUUUAAUAUGUUAAAGAUUCGAAUGAUUUUGAUCAUUGUUUAAAGUAAAAUUAUUAUAUAAAAUAUAUUUGACAAUAUUUUCAUAGAAUUUGGAAUAUUUAAAAAGUUGUGUGUGUCAACGGCCUACACAAUUUUGAAAGUUGUACGUCAUUAGCAUCAUUACGUAAGCGUGUAAUAUAACGAGAACGAGGCGAUAACGAUCUACUUAUACAUCAUUCCAUUUCUCCACCGAGUGGAGGACACUUGCGAAAUUCAUAUUCUUUUAAAUAUGAAAGUCUCGCGAGAAUUUGGUUGCCAAGCGUUAAAUAAUAAAGCGAUGUAAGCUUGUGUCCAGCUUGGAUAUUUCGCGAUCAACCCUUUGAACGAAGUUUUAUAUUAAAGUUGGACUGUGAAAUAUCACCACGUUUUCUCUGUGUUACAUUCACGUAUUUAAUCGUAUUAUCUUCAAUUUCACUGCAGUUCUUCCGGAAACAACAUGGUAACAAACAUGAAAUGGAAUUUUCAAUUUUCUUUGUAAAAUUGAAUGUACGAUAAUUUACGGGAUAGGAGAGGAAAAUUUUAAAAAAUACUGUCGAGUGAUGAGCAAAAUGUAUAAUUUGUAAAGGAGAAUUAUCUUCUUGUUGAGAAUUCAAAAUACGUUGAUUUUAAAAUGAGACAUUUACAGAAACAUUUGCAUAUAAAGAUAUUGAGAUAAAGAUAAGCAAGGAAUAUUAAAAUAGAAUGCACAAAAGGGAUUGUGCAUUCGCAAUAUUUGUUAAUAAACAUUUUACCAAUCCCAUUUAGGAAUCGAUAUGGAUAUGUUCAAUAAUUGAUAAUCAAAUCUAUAAUGGACAGGGGAACGACGUCACCAGAAAAAUAAUGGAGACUU